AGUGCCGUCCGCUGAGGGCGGCUUUUCCCCGGUGUAAGGAGCCGGGGGAAUAAGGAGAGGGCAAGUCUGGUGUCAGCCGCCGCGGUAAUACCAGCUCUCCGAGUGGUAGGGAUGAUUAUUGGGCUUAAAGCGUCCGUAGCCGGCCCGGCAAGUCUUCCGUUAAAUCCAACGAUUCAAUCGUUGGACUGCAGGAGAUACUGUUGGGCUAGGGGGCGGGAGAGGCCGACGGUAUUCUCGGGGUAGGGGUAAAAUCCUAUAAUCCCGGGAGGACCACCAGUGGCGAAGGCGGUCGGCUAGAACGCGCUCGACGGUGAGGGACGAAAGCUGGGGGAGCGAACCGGAUUAGAUACCCGGGUAGUCCCAGCUGUAAACGAUGCGGGCUAGGUGUUGGGGCGGCUACGGGCCGCUUCAGUGCCGCAGGGAAACCAUUAAGCCCGCCGCCUGGGGAGUACGGCCGCAAGGCUGAAACUUAAAGGAAUUGGCG
rnacentral:rRNA from 1 species